CUAAAAUAAUUUUCCCUCUUUUCAAUUCAUUCCUUUCUUUCUUUUUGUUGCUCUCCACUCGUUUUUUUUCUUCUCCACUUCCUUCCUUCCUUCCCAGAUCCAACAUUCCGGGCUUUCUUCUCCUUCAGCUUGGACUUGUGGAAUCGCCUCUCUGAUCAUUUCCGGGUAAAUUCGACUACUUAAAAGAGGGUUUUCUUGUUUAAAGUUCGAGGUCUGGGUCUCAUGAGAAUUUUUAGGGGAAUGCAGAAAUCGUUUUGCAAGGAGCAGCAGCAGAAGGAGCUGGGCUGGAAGAAUAUUUUCUGCCGAGGGUUGGGUGUCACUGCUCCCAAGGCAAGAACUCGUGACAAACCCAUGUCUACUGCCUUCUUCACUAGUCUCUGAGCUUGCUUCUUGACGCCAAUAAUUGGGGUUCUUGUUGAUUUCUUGAGGUGUCCUUUGAUACACAUCUCCAAUGACGAGGGUUGUUAUACCAAGAGGUUCCUCUGGUGGUUCUUCUACAAACACCAACCGAUCUUCAGCCUCUGCUUCUUCAUCAUCUCGCCCUGAACAACAUGUUUCUACUUCUCCACAGCCAGCUUCGAAGGAUGAGGAACUUGGAGAGAUUAUACAGGAACAGUCUACUGCUGAUGAGGUUUUGGACGUUGCAAAUAGCUGCGAAAGCAAGACAGUUAAAACAGAGCAUGUUUUAAUCGAAGGAUCUUAUAAUGAUCGCCAGAUGGAAAUUUUGAGAGAUGAACUUUCUGGGGACAAUGAGAAAGUUGUUAAAGACGAUACUAUGGAUCAAGGGGAACCUAGAAUGGUAUUGGAUCACUUGAAAAUUCCGGAUAGGAAUGCAAUUGAAAAUGAGUGCUGUAAGGGGGAUUCCUCACAGGCCAUUCGAGGGAAUUCACCACCCCCACCACCCCCUGCCCCACCACUCAAACCUUCUUCAGUGAGCUCAUCAAACACUAGGAGACAUGUCUUGGGAAGUUCAAAUGCUGGUAGAAUUGGGUCCUCAAGAAGUGGCAUUCCUUGGUCUGUUGUUUCAAAUAGGACCUCCCUCACUGGGUCACGUCCUUCCUCUCCAAGAUCACAUGUUGAUAGUGAGGGUUACAACAGUGCGGAUGAGCAGAACUCUUGUUAUGUGUCAUAUUAUGAUCUGGAAAGAGAGAGGCAAUUCGAGGCUGAAAUUAAGCGGGUAAAAGGUUUUGAAGUUAAAAGAAUGCUGGAGGAUGGGAAUUGCCUAUUUCGUGCUGUUGCAGAUCAAGUGUAUGGGGAUUCUGAAGCAUAUGAUCUGAUUCGACAGAUGUGCAUAGAUUACAUGGAGCGUGAGAGGGAUCACUUUUCCCAGUUCAUAACUGAAGGAUUUACAUCUUAUUGCAAGAGGAAAAGAAGAGAUAAGGUAUAUGGAAAUAAUGCUGAAAUCCAAGCCCUUUGUGAGAUGUAUAAUCGACCAAUCCAUAUUUUUUCCUAUGGCACAGAACCUAUUAACAUCUUUCAUGGAAACUAUGCUACUGACCUGCCUCCCAUUCGGUUGAGUUAUCAUCAUGGAAAUCAUUACAACUCUCUUGUUGAUCCACGGCGCUUAGCAAUUGGUGCAGGGCUUGGCUUCAGCAGUCUUCGAGGGGCAAAUGUUGACAAGGAUAAAGUGAAGGCUGCUUUAAAAGCGCAGCAAGAUCAACAGCUUGAUAAUGCUCUUCUUGCUCAAGGACGGUAUUUCUCAGAUCUUGAGGUUACUGAAAAGGAGAUCGAGCAGAUGGUGAUGGAAGCUUCUAGAGCUGAAUAUCUUGCUAGAUACUCCUUGAAGCACCAAUUAGACCGAAGAGACAACUCCACCCCCGGUGCAGAACCGUCUUCAUCAGGCGCCAGGUCCUCGGGAAGUGAGGGUAAUUGUAAGAGAGAAAGUGGGGUGCAGGAGUCAGUUUUAAGCAAUGGAAUGCGAACGGUGCUUUCAAUGGGGUUUGGUUAUCUACAGGUGAUUGAAGCUUAUAGCAUAUUUGGAGACGAUGUGGAUUCAAUGGUUUGUUAUUUGUUGGAAACUGGGGAUAGCAGCAGACGCAAAGGCAAAGCAACGGAAUGAUCAGAAAAGCAGCAGCCAGCAGCAGACCUUAGGGACACCGAUGGAAGAAGAAAGUGAAGAUGUUAAAAGAGAGGCAUGUAGGGGAACAAACUCAAAUCCUGUUCUGGUAUGGUAUGAUAAUAAAGCAAACUCGACCUUUUAAUCUCUACAAUAUUACAAGCUCUCCAUUAUUUCCACUUCCAUCCCAGAAAAUGUAUGGUUACGUAUUCGGUAUUAUUUUCUACGCUAUCAAGAAAAUCAAGAAAAUCAUCAACAAAAAUUUAUCACUUAAUGUUUA